UUCAAGCUUUUCAUUACAAACUCUUUCAAGAAUUUCCUGAAAGAAAAGAAGAGAAAGAAGAAGAAGAUGUUGCUGGGGAAGAGGCCAAGGCCACCUAUGAAAAGAACCACAAGCAUGACAGAGAUCACUUUUGAUCUAAACACCACCACCACCACCAACGCCGAACCUCCACCCUCUGAUCCACAUAACCCUUUUAACAACUACCCCAAACAGGCUUCCCCUUUCGGUGGCGCAGCACCUUCUGUAGCUGUUGCUGGCGGUGGUGUUGGACUUGA
rnacentral:lncRNA from 1 species